AUGCGAGCUGAGUACGAUGCUCUCGUCGCCAACUGGACCUGGACCCUUGUUCCUCGUCCUCCUGGAGCCAACAUCAUCUCGGGCAAGUGGGUUUUUCGUCACAAACUCCAUCCGGAUGGCUCACUGGAUCGGUACAAGGCUCGCUGGGUUGUCCGAGGAUUUGCACAACGUGCUGGCAUUGACUUCUCUGAGACUUUUUCUCCGGUCGUCAAACCCGCCACGAUUCGUGUGGUGCUUCAGCUGGCUGCUUCUCGUCACUGGCCCGUCCAUCAGCUCGACAUCAACAAUGCUUUUCAAGGAGCAAGUCCUCUGUCAGCAGCCGACUAG
rnacentral:rRNA from 1 species